CUGCGCUUAGCCGCGGUUUAUUUAUGGGCGUCAGUCCAAAUCAGAAAUCUUUUCCGGCGCUCUCUCAGGAUACCCCUUGGCGUUUCUUCAACGCGGUGCCGCGGUAAGGGUGAGACGGGGUGUUGGCUUUUGCGUGACCUCUUCGGUUCCGGAAGUGGUGAUCUUGUGCUGUUCCUCCUCGUUGUUGGUGUUGCUUCGUCGUGGGCAUCUUGUGGUUGUCGAGCUCGUCGGUUCUUUGUCUCUCGAUGCCGAUCUGAUGGUUGAUUCUCUUCGCCGUCGGUUCUGCUUCAAGGUGCUGACCAUGUUUCGUGUGGUGUUCCUCCCUUGCUGAUCGUGUUCUUCUUGCUCUCUCGCUGAUCCUCGCGUCGGCUCUCUGCUUUUUACCCGUGUAUUCUGAUAUCCAGCGUCACCGUGGAUUCCUCGUUGUCGUCGUUCUUAUUCAAGUUGCGGAGCUUGUUCCGAGUUGCCGCUGCUUGUUCUCCUGGUCCUGUUAGUCUUUGACUCUGCUCCGAGCUGCUGGUGCUUGUUUUUUCCUCGUCUUCUGAGCUGCACUGUCACCCUCACUUCCUGGUCUCCCCUACAUAGCAAACCGUUUUGCUCACGCUCUGCGCUCAGCUCCUAUCGCUCCGGACCGUCCCAACUCGCAUCGCUUCACCUUGUAUUCGGGCAGAGACGCAACGUGGUGGGACAGCUAACAGAGGAGCAGUGGAUCUCUAACUCGUGAAUUUGAACAUAUCGAUUGGAGAUCUCAGUCUUGCCUUGACUGCAAUCAUCGCGAGUGUAACGGGAUGUGCGCAGAAGAUCGGUGGAUCAAGAUUGUGGAGUCUCUUAUUCUCGCCGUCUUGGUACUCAUUGCUGGAGGCCUAAGCGAUCCGUUCAGUUGUCAAGUGGAACGACGAAAGCGUGCAGUGUCUUCGCUCACAUCUUCACUGUUGACACUAUAUUCACAACAUGGUGGUCGCCUUGAGAUGAUUUUAGAGUUAUCAUAGCUGAACUGACGCGAGUGCUGCCAUGUCUGGGCGACCUUUCAUCAUGGAAGGUGUUGCUCUUUUUCAUUGAGGUGUUGGCAGAAUCGUGCAAGCGUAGGGAGGUGCAGGUUGCAGUGUGUGUGAUCUGUGGCGCAAUGAGAGCUCAGACAACGAAUCAACUGGGGCAACUGACCAGUUAGAAUUUGGCUGAAUCAGGCGGAGCCUACCGAGUCGGAGCUUGAAUUAGACUCAGAACCGGUUGUGCUCAACGAAAAUUUGAGGAUCAGCAUCAUGAAGGUGUUGCUGUGAUUUUAUCAAUUCUCAGAAGGCAAGUGAUUCGAGCGUUUAGCUUUUGAAGUCCAUUCUGAAUCUCUGCAAGUUUAUGAGUUCAUUGUGAUGUAGGUUAUAAGAUGACUAAAUAAAUAAAAUAGAUAAUUAAAUGCAUAAUAUGAAAGAAUAUAAAUGAAAAGAAUGUUUUGAAUACAAACUACGCACAAAUAAAGAUUAGAUAACAAAUAAAUAAAUUAACACUUGUGAAUAAAUAAAAUAAUAAACAACAAAACAAAAUAAUAAGUAGGCAAUUAAGUGCAUGACAUUAAAAAGCAAAAAUUUUACAAACAAAUUAUACAUAGAUAAAUUUAGAUAAAGAUAAAAUAAUAAAAAAUAAAAAUAUUUAAUAUACAAAGAUUCUAAUUAAUGAAAAGAGAAAAAAUAAAAAAUGACAUCAUAUAUGAAAUCAACAUAAAUAGCCAAAAUAUUUAGUAAUGUUAAUAUCCAAGACUAAUUAGUAAAAUAUAAAGCAUUAGAAAAAGUAGGAAAUUCACCUAAUUAUAAUGAUAAUGUGAAUUAUUACUAAUUAAGAUAAAUCAAAAUAACUAAGUCAACUUGAAAAUGACUAAAAUCAAUUUAUGUAACCUAUAGCAAUGGAAAAAUAAUUUAUAUAGUUAGAUAUAUCUUUUAAGUAAAUAAAUUAAUUAAUUGAAUAACUAUAUGAUUAAUUUAAAAUGAAUGAUUAAUAAUGAUACAAUAUUCAUUAAACUUCACAUUAUGCUUUAUUAAUAUGUCUUUGAAAUAUAUCUUCAGAUUCUCAAGCGCGGAUUUAAUUUUUUGAUGCUAAGUCUUUAAAAAGAUGGCAUCAAUGUCAAUGGUUUGGUCAAAGGAGAGUGCAGAAGUACCCAAGUCUUUUCUUUUGGAUGGUGGAAUAAAGCCAAAGGGCAUUGAACAUGUACAAUAAUAUCAAAUGUACAAAUCUUCAAUGUUAAAAGAAAUUACAAAUAAAUAUUUGAUAGAUACUUGAAGUAAUUCUUGAAAUACUACAUUAACUAUGAACAACAUUGAUCCAUUGUAAAUAUAGUUGUUACACCAAGUUUCUAUUAUGUAAGCUUUUUUUCAAGUUUUGUUUGUGCAGAUCAUUGAUGGAGUCUACAAAUUUAGUGAAUCUUCUAAAGAAGUUGCAAUGACAGUUGAAAUUGUGUUCAUUCAUGGAUUACAAAUAUUUGAUUAUAAAAAUACAUAUUGAAAAACUUGGAUGGCUGGAAAAGAUUGUAAUGAAUUAUGUUGGCCAAUGAAAUAGUUAGCAGAAGACUUUCCUAAGGCUUGGAUAUGGUCCCUUUCUUAUGAUUCCUCAGCGUGGAAGAAAAGUGAUAGAGGAAAUAUAGAUGGCUAUGUAGUAGUAGAGACUCUAGUACAAGAGAUGGUUGAACAUGUUCACAUAGAUCAACAAAGACAUCCUAUUAUAUUUGUUUGUCAUUGUCUUGGAGGUUUGAUGGCAAAACAAAUAGUUUUAUUUGCUCAUAACCAACUUGGGAAGAAUCCAAAGUAUGUUAAUUUUCUUGAAAGCAUAAAAGGAUUCUUAUAUUACUCUACACCUCAUGAUGGCUCAUUUCUAGUUAAUCAUAUGAAGUAUAUUCCAAAUAUGGAAAAGAUGGAAAAGGUGGUUGCAUCUUUGGAGGUUAUUAAUGAUGAUAUUGGUCGUUUAAAUGCAUCUUUUGAAUACAUUGAAAGAGAGAAUUAUCCCAACAAAUGGAAUCAUUUUUGUAUUGGAGAAGCACAUGAGACUGCAAUACCACAUACAAAGUUUUAAAAGAAGAUUGUUGAAGAAGCUUCUGCACGACAUGGAUAUAAGUUUAUUCUUGCUCCAACUGAUCACUUUGAGAUAUGCAAGCCAAGAAAUAAGACUUGUAUUAGUUACCUUUGUUUGACUAAUCUCAUUAAAGAAGUUACAAAUGAUUUUAUUGAAAGUUGUGCCAAUGUUUUAAAACUUCCAAGUAUAUUAGUACAAGUUGAAGACAAAUUACAAGAAGUAUGGAAGAUGAUGGAAGCACACUCUAUUGUUGGAUUGGUUGGAAUGGGAGGCAUUGGAAAGACAACAUUAUGUAAGUACCUAUAUAAUUAUGAGAAAAGAAACAAUCAUAUAAGACAUCAAUUUGAAAAGUUUACUCAAGGUAUUUAUAAGAUGGAACUAUUGAAUGAAGUUGAAGCUUUAAGAUUAUUUUUAUUUUAUACUUUCCAAGGAGCUAAUGACAACAAGUGCAAACAACUUAAUGAUCAAGUAAAGGCUAUUAUCAAGGCAUGUGGUGCAUUGCCUUUGAGUCUUGAAGUAAUUGGACAAUACUUGAAGAAAUAUAAUUUGAAAGAUAUUGAUGAACGAAAGGAGAUAUGGAAAGAGGCAUUGAAAAGAUUGGAAGAAGCAAAGCCUUUUGACGGAUAUAAUGAUGAUGAGAUGUUAUGGAAAAGGUUAAGAAUUAGCUAUGAUAAUCUAGCUAUGGAUGAAAAAAGUAUAUUUUUAGAUUUUGCUUAUAUCAUAUGCGAAUUAUAUAAAAGUAAGGGAUUAAGGAUCUCUAAGGAUUGGCUAGCACGAAUUUGGAAUUCAACUAUUAGGAUUGAAAAUCUUGAAAAUAUGUCUCUUAUCAAAUGGAAUGAUAAAGUAAAUGGUUACAUGAUGCAUGAUCAAUUACGGGACAUGGAUCGAGCAAUUGAAAGAGAAAAGCCAAAUCUAAGUUGAAUAUGGAAGAAAGAAGAUUGUCUAGAAGUUUUAGAAUAAGACAUUGUAAGCAAUUUGUUUUAAUGUUUAAAACAGAUGCAUUUAUAAGAAUACUAUUAAAAGUGAUUAGAUUUGAUAUGAUAAAGAAUAUACUUUUAUUAACUAAUUUGAUUAUUAAUGUGACAAUAGUUAUAUAAAUGAGGAUUGUUUGACCAAAAUGUGUGGUUUUGUAGAGUAAUACAAUUAUAGAAGGCUUAUUAUUAUUUAAAAUUAGAAAAUUAGAGUUUUGUCAAUAUCAAAAGCAUGCAAAAAGAUAUUAUGAAACAAAGCAAGUAAACUACUUCACAAAA